rnacentral:misc_RNA from 1 species
GAUGAAGAACGUAGUGAAAUGCGAUACGUAGUGUGAAUUACAGAAUUCAGUGAAUCAUCGAAUCUUUGAACGCACAUUGCACCUCUCGGUAUUCCGGGAGGUAUGCCUGUUCGAGCGUCAUUUGUACCCUCAAGCUCUGCUUGGUGUUGGGUGUUUGUUCCGCCUCUGUGUGUGAACUCGCCUCAAAACAAUUGGCAGCCGGCGUACUUGUUUCGGAGCGCAGCACAUUUUGCGAUCCAGAUCAACGUACACCGGCAUCCAAGAAGCCUUAUUUAACGCUCUUGACCUCGGAUCAGGUAGGGAUACCCGCUGAACUUAAGCAUAUCAAUAAGCGGAGGA